rnacentral:rRNA from 1 species
AUUGAACGCUGGCGGCAUGCCCUACACAUGCAAGUCGAACGGCAGCACGGGAGCAAUCCUGGUGGCGAGUGGCGAACGGGUGAGUAAUAUAUCGGAACGUGCCCAGUCGUGGGGGAUAACGCAGCGAAAGCUGUGCUAAUACCGCAUACGAUCUAAGGAUGAGAGCGGGGGAUCGCAAGACCUCGCGCGAGUGGAGCGGCCGAUAUCAGAUUAGCUAGUUGGUGGGGUAAAGGCCCACCAAGGCGACGAUCUGUAGCUGGUCUGAGAGGACGGCCAGCCACACUGGAACUGAGACACGGUCCAGACUCCUACGGGAGGCAGCAGUGGGGAAUUUUGAACAAUGGGCGCAAGCCUGAUCCAGCAAUGCCGCGUGCAGGAUGAAGGCCUUCGGGUUGUAAACUGCUUUUGUACGGAACGAAACGGCCCUUUCUAAUACAGGGGGCUAAUGACGGUACCGUAAGAAUAAGCACCGGCUAACUACGUGCCAGCCGCCGCCGUAA